rnacentral:rRNA from 1 species
AUUGAACGCUGGCGGCAGGCCUAACACAUGCAAGUCGAGCGGAUGAAGGGAGCUUGCUCCUGGAUUCAGCGGCGGACGGGUGAGUAAUGCCUAGGAAUCUGCCUGGUAGUGGGGGAUAACGUCCGGAAACGGGCGCUAAUACCGCCUACGUCCUGAGGGAGCAAGUGGGGGAUCUUCGGACCUCACGCUAUCAGAUGAGCCUAGGUCGGAUUAGCUAGUUGGUGGGGUAAAGGCCUACCAAGGCGACGAUCCGUAACUGGUCUGAGAGGAUGAUCAGUCACACUGGAACUGGGACACGGUCCAGACGCCUACGGGAGGCAGCAGUGGGGAAUAUUGGACAAUGGGCGAAAGCCUGAUCCAGCCAUGCCGCGUGUGUGAAGAAGGUCUUCGGAUUGUAAAGCACUUUAAGUUGGGAGGAAGGGCAGUAAGUUAAUACCUUGCUGUUUUGACGUUACCAACAGAAUAAGCACCGGCUAACUUCGUG